rnacentral:lncRNA from 1 species
UAUGCUUUGGAGAUCUUGCUCUCCUGUGGGCGGCCUCAGUAUUGUUUGCUUGACCAAUCUUUAUAGUGCAGAGGCUGACGCUCCCCACAUCAUGACUGACAUCAACAGGAUACCAGAGCAAAUCCAACGCACCAAACACUAUACUGGUCCAUGCACUAGCAGCUUGUCUGUACCUCUGAAAGGACUGUUCCUGGCCCAUUAAUGCAGAGGCUGCUGGUGGAACUGAGAAGAAGGGGUAGAAAACCGACUAUUGUGGUCGGGUACAAAUACUUGCCCACACUGGCGAAUAUUACCCAGCCUUUCCUCAAAAGCACCUAAGACUGGUUGUUGAUUGCAUUGUUUCAUACCUGUUCUGAAAGCCAAGAAACUGCUAAGACAAGUCCAUACUGCAUUUGCCACUGAAAAAAAAAAUCACAGUGAAGAAAGAACCCAGAGGAAGAUUUGCUUGCUAAACUUAUCUCAUCAUAACCCUUGAGCUGCACUUGACUUGUUAGAGUAACGAGGCAGAACUUACUAGACCUACUUCACAUCUUAUAUUGACUAGCUUCAAUUGUUGUUAUCUUUUAAAGCCUUCAUGGUGAAUGCCGUUUUUUAAAAAUAUUAUUAUUUGUAGGAUAUUGCAACAGAUCUGUGAACUGAAAUAAUAAACUGUGAAUCACUUAUAUUUUCCUAGAAUAUGGACUGAUCUUCAGGGAUUAAUCUUAAAAAGAGCUUUACGCAUUUCUCAUGGGUUCCUCUAUAGCC